rnacentral:other from 1 species
UUGUAGGAUAGCUGUCCCCGGCAGCAAAUAACCUGAGGAACAACACAGAAAAUGGGAGCCAGCGCUGGGACGUGGUGAGCAGGCCCACCCUGCCAACCAGGGAGGGAAGCCUAAAGCGUUCCACAAGGCACCCACGUGCUGAAGAACUCAGCGUUAUUGCUGCUGGGGCAGCACU